rfam:Triticum urartu cultivar G1812 contig360989, whole genome shotgun sequence.
UAGAUACUCCCUCCGUUCCAAAAUUUUUGUUUUAGAUUUGUCUAAAUACAUAUAUAUCUAGUUACAUUUUAGUGUUAGAUACAUUCGUAUCUAGACAAAUCUAAGAUAAGAAUUUUGAAACGGAGAGAGUAUAUA